rnacentral:rRNA from 1 species
CACCCGCAGCUCGAGUGGUGGUCACUUUUAUUGAGCCUAAAGCGUUUGUAGCCGGAUCCGUAAAUCUCCAGGCAAAUUCCUUCGCUUAACGAAGGAUCUUCUGGAGGGACUGCGGAUCUAGGGACCGGGUGAGGUUGAAUGUACUUCUGGGGUAGGGGUAAAAUCCUGUAAUCCUGGAAGGACGACCGGUGGCGAAGGCGUUCAACUAGAACGGAUCCGACGGUGAGGAACGAGGGCUAGGGGAGCAAACCGGAUUAGAUACCCGGGUAGUCCUAGCUGUAAACACUGCCCACUUGAUGUUGCAUCUCCGUGUAGGGGGUGCAGUGUCGUAGCGAAGGUGUUAAGUGGGCCGCUUGGGGAGUAUGGUCGCAAGGCUGAAACUUAAAGGAAUUGGCGGGGGAGCACCACAACGGGAGGAGCGUGCGGUUUAAUUGGAUUCAACGCCGGAAAGCUCACCAGGAGCGACCUUUGAAUGAGAGUCAACUUGACGAGCUUACUCGAUAGAAGGAGAGGUGGUGCAUGGCCGUCGUCAGCUCGUACCGUAGGGCGUUCACUUAAGUGUGAUAACGAGCGAGACCCCCAUCUUUAAUUGCCAUCAUGUUCGAGAGGACGUGGGCACUUUAAAGGGACCGCCAGCGCAGAGCUGGAGGAAGGAGGGGUCGACGGCAGGUCAGUACGCCCCGAAUCUCCUGGGCAACACGCGCGCUACAAAGGACAGGACAAUGGGCUGCGACCUCGAAAGGGGAAGCCAAUCUCGAAACCUGUUCGUAGUUAGGAUUGAGGGCUGUAACUCGCCCUCAUGAAUCUGGAUUCCGUAGUAAUCGCGGGUCAACAUCCCGCGGUGAAUAUGUCCCUGCUCCU